GUUAUUGCGUGAUGUCCUGUUUAGUAAGGAGUUCGAGGCGGCUCUCGAGAGUAAGAUGAUGGCUGGGCAAAAGGUGCAGCAACUUGAAUUCGAAGUCCAGCAAGCGCAGAAGCGCGCCGAAGCACGAGUGAAGGAAGCCCAAGGCGAGGCUGAAGCGUUCGAUGUGAUUAAUACGA
rnacentral:misc_RNA from 1 species